UGUAAGCGUAUACCAAAGUUGUUGCAGUUAAAACGCUCGUAGUCGGAAUUUGGCAGUUCCGGAAGUGUGCACGUCGUGUGCGCACUUUGCGGGGACUGCUUUUGUGGUCUUGCGUAGGAUGAGGCACUUUCAUUAGUGAACGUCCUCACGCAACCACUCUUUACUGUGAGAAAAUCAGAGUGCUCAAAGCAGGCAUUUGCCGUGAAUGUAUUAGCAUGGAAUAAUAGAAUAGGACUCGGUUCUAUUUUGUUGGUUUGUUGGGACUGAGUAAUGAUUAAGAGGGACAGUUGGGGGCAUUUGUAUUCUGGCGCUAGAGGUGAAAUUCUUAGAUUGCCGGAAGACAAACUGCUGCGAAAGCGUCUGCCAAGGAUGUUUUCAUUGA
rnacentral:rRNA from 1 species